rnacentral:lncRNA from 1 species
AGAAUUGGAAGAGUUUGAAGAGCCAGGAUCUUGUAUCCUUCCUGCUUUGAUGAGGCUUUCAGUUCGUUCUCCACAGACGACAACAUCUGAAAAGCUACUGAACGGGCAACUUCCCAAACGAUCCAUGAACACACCUUGCAGGGUUCCAAUGAACAUGUCAGUCAGCUCUCUCUCCAGCAUAGGAGGUUGCACUCUGGCGGCUAGCUCACGCCAUCUCUGAGCAUACUCUUUGAAACUCUCCUUGUCUUU